GUGCUUGCUUCGGUAGCCUAUAUACUAACAUUGGAAUGGUAGAGAAGAUUAGCAUGGCCCCUGCACAAGAAUGACACACAAAUUAGUGAUUUGCAUUCAAUAUUA
ensembl:snRNA U6 U6 spliceosomal RNA